UUCAAACCCACCAUCUUCUCUUUCUCUUAAAACCCACCGGAAUUGCUUCAAACCCACCGGAAAAUUCGACGCCUUUCUCAUACUCUCACUCUAUUUAUUUCUCAUUUACCAUGGUGAUUUACUUUGUUUAUUUCUCUCUCUCUUUCUUGCUUUUCUAUAUCAGUUAAAAAAGUAAAUAUCAUCAUCGCUUAGCUCUCAGCAGUAGCAGUUAUACAUGCACUGGGUAUUAUCAAUAAUAAUCAUAAAAACCCUAAAUACCUCAGUAAGAAUCGCUUAGCUCUCAGCAGUAGCAGUUGUUUCAUCAAAGAGAGGGCUCUCUCAGAGCCCUUUUUCUCUCUUCUGAGGGGUUUUGAGUUGAAUUUCAGGGUUUAGGAAAUAGUUUCAGGGUUUAGGAAACAGUUGUACUUCAUCAAAUUCUUCAAAAAGCUCUCGAAAGGAUUAUGGAUAAUCUAGAGCGUGGUUGGAUGUACGACAGGUUGGAUGGUCGAGGGGGUAUUAAUUCUAGUUUCAUAACUGGUGUUAAUAAGUUUCUUGAGUUCUCAUGUUCUCAGAGAAACCGCAUGAGUGGUGACGAUGUCAAAUGUCCGUGUAAAAAAUGUCACAAUAUUAAAUUCAUGGAUGUUGAAACCGUUAAAUUGCACCUUCAAUCGUUUGGAUUUGUUGAGAACUAUUUUGUUUGGAAGUAUCAAGGG